rnacentral:rRNA from 1 species
CGUGUGGUUUAUUCGAGGCUACGCGAAGAACCUUACCUGGGAAUGACAUGCUGGUAGUACGGAAGCGAAAGCGGAAGGGCCCUUCGGGGAGCCAGCACAGGUGCUGCAUGGUUGUCGUCAGCUCGUGCCGUGAGGUGUUCGGUUAAGUCCGCAAACGAGCGCAACCCUCGGUGCUAGUUAUACGUGUCUAGCAUGACUGCCCAUGACAAAUGGGAGGAAGGUGGGGAUGACGUCAAAUCAGCAUGGCCUUAAUAUCCAGGGCGACACACACGCUACAAUGG